rnacentral:pre_miRNA from 1 species
GGGGUGGGGGGGUUGUUCCCUCAGCCCAGAUUACGAGAGGGUGCAGGCUAGGCCGAGGGACCCCACUGGUGCACA